rfam:Jaapia argillacea MTCL 33604 unplaced genomic scaffold JAAARscaffold_22, whole genome shotgun sequence.
GGUGAGAUGGCCGAGCGGUCCAAGGCGCCAGACUAAGGUUGUUACAACUGUAUGAUAUCUGGUCUCUUCGGGGGCGUGGGUUCGAAUCCCACUCUCAUCA